GACGAACGCUGGCGGCGUGCUUAACACAUGCAAGUCGAACGGAAAGGCCCUGCUUUUGUGGGGGGCUCGAGUGGCGAACGGGUGAGUAACACGUGAGUAACCUGCCCUUGACUUUGGGAUAACUUCAGGAAACUGGGGCUAAUACCGGAUAGGAGCUCCUGCUGCAUGGUGGGGGUUGGAAAGUUUCGGCGGUUGGGGAUGGACUCGCGGCUUAUCAGCUUGUUGGUGGGGUAGUGGCUUACCAAGGCUUUGACGGGUAGCCGGCCUGAGAGGGUGACCGGCCACAUUGGGACUGAGAUACGGCCCAGACUCCUACGGGAGGCAGCAGUGGGGAAUAUUGCACAAUGGGCGGAAGCCUGAUGCAGCAACGCCGCGUGCGGGAUGACGGCCUUCGGGUUGUAAACCGCUUUCGCCUGUGACGAAGCGUGAGUGGCGGUAAUGGGUAAAGAAGCACCGGCUAACUACGUG
rnacentral:rRNA from 1 species